GAUAGGUCUCUGUCGCUACUGUGAUUGGACACUGACACAGAGUCAACUAGCCUUGGUCGCGCGGUUCUUCGCGCGCGGAACCGGGACGGUCCGAGCCACGAGGGGGGAGGCUCGGACCGUCCGUU
rnacentral:ncRNA from 1 species